CAUACCGUAGUAAAACAUUAAACCGCACAGACUCUUAUCUGUUUCCAACCGCGGCUCAUGACACUCUGAUGGAUUGUGACUCGAGUGGAAAUGGGUGUCAAAGGUGAGCGCGAAUCUGACAAAUACAGAAAUACAGACAGCAGGUCAAGGACGGCAGGUAGUUCACGGGAGGGGCGGAGCCAGUUAAUGGUGACACUGAGUUAAACAAAUAAGCAGAGUGGGCGGAUCAUAGAGGGGGCGGAGCCAGAGCCACAAACAGACACACCCACACAAGCAAAGUGAUUAUCUCAGUGGAAAAAUGGUCCAGAUGUCUCCUGCAUCCCUACGGAUUCAUGUUCUCUUUUUUAAGCAUCACAGCAAUGACCUAGAUCUGCAGAGGAGCGACGGCUCAUUGGUCUUAUUAGUUUUUGUUAGACUCACUGUAAUUCAUUGUUGGCCAUAUUUAGUAUUCAACCAAUAAAGAGCAUGAUAUCAGCUGCUGUAAUGUCUAUAUACUGUAUGUAAUACAACAAAAUCACACGAGACGGGCACAAAAUUGAUGCAUUUGCUUGCAAGUAUUAAAUCAUUUGCUUAAAAUGUAUAAUUCGCUUUCAAGUCAAAAUAUUGGGGCACUUCAGAAAAUGUUGAAAGAGCAAUUAUG